GACGAACGCUGGCGGCGUGCUUAACACAUGCAAGUCGAACGGAAAGGCCCUGCUUUUGUGGGGUGCUCGAGUGGCGAACGGGUGAGUAACACGUGAGUAACCUGCCCUUGACUUUGGGAUAACUUCAGGAAACUGGGGCUAAUACCGGAUAGGAGAUCCUGCUGCAUGGUGGGGGUUGGAAAGUUUCGGCGGGUGGGGAUGGACUCGCGGCUUAUCAGCUUGUUGGUGGGGUAGUGGCUUACCAAGGCUUUGACGGGUAGCCGGCCUGAGAGGGUGACCGGCCACAUUGGGACUGAGAGACGGCGCAGACUGCUACGGGAGGCAGCAGGGGGGAAUAUUGCACAAUGGGCGGGAGCCGGAUGCAGCAGCGCCGCGUGCGUGAUGACGGCCUUCGGGUUGUAAACCGCUUUCGCCUGUUACGAAGCUUGAGUGACGGUAAUGGGUAAAGAAGCACCGGCUAACUACGUG
rnacentral:rRNA from 1 species